CUCCCACUUUCUUCUCCCAUUCAUCCUCCCACUUCCAUAAAUCACUAGUAUAUUGGUUUGUGCAUAGAUCUUUUCAUCACACACAAUGAAAGGCCCAGCCGCCCAGUUAUUUCCAUUCACUGUAAUUCCAUUCCAGCUUUGAAUUUUCUUCUCUGUUUCUCUGCAAUAACAACCAUCAAGAAUGGCAGCUGUGAUUUUGUCUUCGACGAUGUUUGCAAUUUCAACUUGCUGCUACUCUUCGUCUCUCAAAGUAUUGAAUCUUCAAUUCUUCACUGACUUUGCAUGUUGAAAAAAUUUGAAGCUAUUAUUACAGGGAUUUGAACCCAUGUUCUCUUAUUCUUCAUAGCUAUUGGUCUACAGUCUUCUUUUCUUCUUCAUAGCUACUGAUUUGAGAUCGAGCAAGAUUUGGAUUCACUGAUUCAGACAGAUAACAGAACCGAAGAAUCGAGGAAAUGGAACCAAUUUUUAUCAGUUCAAGUUUUGCUCGGUUCUAGAGACUGAUAUUCUUCAAACCAAACUGAAGUUUAGUACAUCGGUUGGGUGCCGGUUCCGGUAGAUGAUGGUUGGAAACCCGACCUGUCCCAGCCCCAGCCCCAGAAUAGUCAAUGUAACCUGUUUUCAUAUAUCCUUAUGUCCUUUACAUGUUCUAUAGUUACCAUAUUACUAUCAGACUAUAACAAGUGGCAGAGCCAGAAUUUUAUAUCAAGUAAGACAUUUAGAAGUUUUAGGAAAAAAAAA